AGGGUGGUGUACUGGAGCCAGGCCCUUUCUGCCUAAGCAGGACACUCAAAGAGGCAGUCUUUGCCCUGCAGCCCUCCACUGGCCCAGCCAACACUCUCUCAGAGCUUAGACAUCUGCUUCUCAGAGCACCCAAACUGACAGGGUGUAUCCAGUAUAUUUGAUUCUGAAGCUAGAGAGACCCAGCUGGCCAUACACAUUGGGGAAUCAUUGACAGAUGGCAGCUGAGAUCUGAGAGCGGUUGACCUCACUUCACAAGGUUGAGUGGAAUUAGGAGGGACAAACUUCUGUGACAGGAGCCUGAGGAGCACCAAACAAAGAGCAAGAGACAUCGGGGAUGCCCACACACAGAGGAAAGGCCACGUGAGCACAUGGCUAGAAGGUGAACAACUACAAGCCAAGGAGAGAUGC
rnacentral:lncRNA from 1 species